AAAGAAAAACCCACACCAAACUUAAAGACAGGAAGCAAACCAAAAAGGUGGAUCGACUAAAGGUGUUGACUCUCCACAUCUAUCAAGACAACUGGAGCACUGGGC